GGGGCCGAGUAGAACGUUUUCACGAACUACGCUCGUAGAAGGCAUGGAAUCGUCGAAGUGGACCGGGGUUCAAUUCCCCGCGGCUCCA
rnacentral:tRNA from 1 species